rnacentral:sRNA from 1 species
UGAUUUUUUUCGUUUUUUUUUGGAUUU